UGUGAGUUACUGGUUUGUUUGUUUUUAAUAAUAAACCAGUUAUAUAAAAGCCUCAGUGAAAAGUUUUUUAAGGCAACAGCUGGGAAUGACCCUCUUCCACCUUUCUUGCUCUGUUGGCUAAGAGUCCACAAAUUAUUCAUUUUAAUUCUUAAUUAUUAAUGAUAACAUUUGUAACUUACCUCAUCAGUAUCUUAAAAUAAUAUUUUGAGUUGUAAAAACAGCAGCUGUCAAGUUCACAGUAAGCAAAUAAUGCCUCCAUUUAUAUGAGCUAUUCCAGUCACUGUUUGUGUUUAAACAAAAAACAACUAAAUUACUAAAUGCUUUGCUAAGUUAUCUCCAGUAAUCUACAUAUAUAGGCCAGGCACUAAGUAUCAUUGUUAAAGCUGGGUAAACUGUGGAAGAGGGGAUGAUUGGAUGUGCUCAGAACACCAUGGACUAUAAACUGUUCAGAUUAAAUAAAAAAAGAGUGAAUUCAAUCUGAAUUUAAAUAUUAAUUGGGGAAAGAAAAACAACCUGGAGCAAAGCAGAAAAGAAAAGAAAACAAGACAAUAUCUUCCCCUAAUAAAUUUCAUCUGUCAUUUCAGAGAUUGCGUUUCCUUCCCUGUCCAGCUGUUGCUGUCUUUACACACCAGCUGACCUCCACACCUGCUCCAGAGUAGCUCGUCAUCUGCCCAGGGUGCAUACCUGCCCUUUAGUCACUGUCAGCUUCCUGUACAUCCUCCUGUACCUGCCUGUUCUGACAGUCAGCCACUUCUGAAGGAUCGUGCAGCUCCACUUCACCAGCAUCACAUUUCUAAAAGAUGGUUAAAUGCAUCUUCUGUCAACACACAUUACAAUGGAGUCUGUCCUGUAGACAUCCAUCUCUGGCACGAGGAAGCCAGAAUACCUGGAGAAAACCCACGCAGGCACAGAGAGA